CGACACCGUUUGAAUUGGAAAUCUUAAUGCGCUUAUAUAGCGAGUUUGAACACGUUUUUAGAAAGAAGUGCAACGCAGCUGCAAACGAGAGGGAAACGGCGUGGGAGAGCAUUGCUGCCCGAGUCAAUGUGUGCAAGAGGGAGGUGGCCUGGGAGAGCAUUGCUGACCGAGUCAAUGUGUGCAAUCCUGUGAGGGAGAAGCGUAUGUGGCAAACAGAUCUCUACAUCAUUCAUCUGCAAUCCUGUGGAACUCCUCCUUGAUGGCUCUGACAGGUUUCUGUCCAGGGAAAACCACAAAGAUAAGUAAAAACCCUUUCAAGGCCAAGCACACUUUCCUGCCUCUCCUACACACAGUUGCCUUACUGAAGUACUCUGCAUCUCAGACAUUAUAUGAAAAACUUCCAUUUGCAAACAACCACAGUGCAACACACAAUAUCUGCUGGGAUGUUAGAGCAUGACUGCAGUUGGUAAUGUUGCAAAUGUAAGGACGGAUUAGGUUGUGGAUGUACAUUAUGGACUGUGAUGUGAAACAGUACCACUCUAAAAGAUAAUUGUCCAGAAAUGCAACAACAUCUAUGCACAGUCUGAUAACAAUCUCCCAAAAAAUAUUUAAUUCUGUGCACAGUAAUUCUGCUCCUUCAUCCACUGCACCAUUAAUCAAAGCACAUGACAUUUUGACACACAGCAGAACUAGGCUUCACAAAAACUCACCUGCUGACUGAAUGAAUGACAAAAUCAAAUAACAUAUGUGGCUGAAAAAGGCCAGAGACAGAGAGUAACUGAAGGUUUACUGAGAUAAACCUGGUCCCAACCACGUUACAUUCAUAGAGUCUGUUACUACAGUAACUAACCAAAAGCUUUACUUACCUCUCUUUCUGAAACAGGCUAGAGUUACCCCUCUGUCUCUAGUUUGAGCUACUUCCCCUUGUGAAACAGAAAACCCUGAGUUUCCCUCAUUUCAGGGUUAACAAACUCAGACUUUUCACUAAACCUACUGUUACAAGAUUUUUUAUAUUAUCAUUAAUGAUAAUAUAAAAAACCUAACAUUUCCUCCAGUUUAUCAUUAAUACAUUCCUUUAUGAUCAACACUAGUUAGUCAGUACUAUAAGGUGGUGCAACUCAAUCUAAGGGCCUUAGUUAUCUGGCUUCAGUAAGUCUAAAAACUGAAGUCACAUUUUGUAAAUUAUCAACUUAAGUCAACACUGGUUUUUAUGAAUGUAGUGACUAGCACUGUCACAUAAAAUAAGUUUGCAUCAGAUGCAUAUUUCUCACAAGAACAAACUAUAAUCCUAAGCCAACAUGAGGAGGUUAAAAGUGUAAUACAGACUAACAACAACAUAGAUGCUGCAGGAAUGAAAGCUGGUAAUAAAUAAAAUGCUGACUGUGUGAAUGUGCAAGUUAAUAGGCUUAUCAAUAUCACUGCCCCAUCAUUAGGGCACAAGUACAUCCGACUAGAAUUAUAAUUGUGUAUUGCAUUAAUUUAAUGCGUUGCUUAAAUGUAUUCUCACAGCUUGUACCAGUUUUAUUCUUUCAGCUGUAACCCCGGCUGUGUAAAAUAGUCUCGAGUGCAAGGAAAGAAAAAAAUAAAAGCACAAUUCAAAUCAGUGCGAGGGCUUACUGCAAAUCUUAUAGGGUCAACAAGUACAAGGCUUUAGUGCUUUUAUCAGUCUCUGUUUUUGAAUUAUAAGCUUCACAAAAGGCCUGUAGAAAAACUAAAUUUGUUUAAAACUGCUUGCAGUCAAAGGUAAAAAAAUAAAAAAUAAAGAUACAAGACUGGAGAUCCCUCCACUGAUAAAAUAUAUCUCCCAUAUUUGUGCAUAUAAGGAAAAGAAAGGGGCACUACUGGCACACGUUGCUCAACAUAAUCUACAGGAAGAGAAAUUAUUAGUCACUAGGUGGUUUUUUUAUACUCUUCUAUCUCGAAUAUAACCUGCCCUGUAGCAGGUUUACUGUGCAGCAUAAGUAACCAUGGUGAUGUGACCUAGUAAGUAGUAAACCACUGUCACAACCCUGAAAACCCAGAGUUAACCCUAAAGUUAUCUGAAACUAACUCUGAAUUCUUCUUCAUAGUAGGCCUCAAGUGUUAAUGUGACACACCGCUAAAAUUAUGGAGUAUUCAAGUACAGGAGGUCCUCGGUUUAUGACAUCCUUGACUUACGUCGUUCCGGCAUUAUGUUGGAACUGAUUACAGUCCAGUCCUCAGUUUCACAUACGGCGUUUCAUUAUUGCAUCAGAACUGGUUCAGUGGAACUAGUUGGUGAGCGGAGCAGACAAAGACGUCACAAGGCAAGCAGAGUGGAUGAAUACUGUACGUACAGUAGUCAUGUGGCGCUAUAAGACGGCUUUGUUUACAUUUGCCGCCACAUUGGGUUAUGCAACUUUUGCUAACUUCAUUAUGGCUCCCAAGCGUAAGUCAAACUUAGAGUUUACACUUUGGCCGGUAUUUUCCUACCAAGUUGUGUUUCAGUGUGUGCUAAUGACUGUUAUCGCUACUGUAGUUGUACAAGUAAACUGCUUGAUGUGGUGAUGAACGUAAGGGCUUUGUUUACAUUUUCACCGGAGUUCCAAAAAUUGACUUGCGUCACACCGUAGGAACGGAACUCCAACGUAAGUCAAGGACCUCCUGUACUUUACUUAAAAGGUAACUUAACAGCAGACUGAGGUUUUUCCACAGUUUCAAGACUGUUUGACCUCUGACCUCAACUGGAAAACAUGUCAUGAGGUUCAGCAGGAAGGUGAGAAGGAAAUCCUGGUUUUUGUUGUUGGUCAAAAAAGAUUUUAUGAAGUGUUAAAGAGCUAACCAUAGGCUUUUCAGAUGUUUUCUUUAGUGUGUUAUAUAGCUGUCUCUUUGUGCAUGUAAAAGGUUUGCAAAUUUACAAAGCCCAGAGUCCACACCAAAGGGAGCAAAAACACUGCUCCAUACCUGCCUGAAAUGCUUCGUUUAAAGUCCAGGCUUUUCUUCUUUACUUAUUUACAUCAUCAUGUAACUCAUUUAUAUAACACCCGUCUAGUAGCUUGUAUGACCUUCAAGCAAAGAACAGGCAGCUGCCCUACGGUCUCUGCACGAGUUACAUCUCUGCAUUCAUAUAUCUGAGGUUAUGUCGUCUCACUCUGUCAGGCCAGUUGACCAAUCAGAGGAGUUUUUCUGGAGGUGGGCCUUAAAGCAACUGGAGGGUGAUAAGACAUCCUGCAAAAGUGUGCAGAAUGAGAAAAAUAAUAUGGAAACAUAUUUGAAAAGACCCUGAAAAUGGAAUUAUGAACCCGUAAAUGUGUAUAAUUUGGGUUCUUUAAAGUCAUACUGAGGCACAACUUAGAGCUUCAUCAUUGUCUGCAAUGGCAAGUGUUUCUGAGUGAAACAAAAUAUGUGGAUCAGUUAUGGGUAAAACAGCAACAACGUUUUUCAAGGUGGAGCCUGCAAUUCUGGACGAUUGUUAAUAUUUUGCUACUUAGCAUAUUAUCUAGUUAGCAUGUCCCAGAUUUACCCAUUUACCAUCCUCUUUUCCUCACUUCCCCUCCCCCUUCCUUUGUCCUUGUCCUGUGCACGAGCAUGAACAUCCAUGAACGUGCACAGGACACAGUGGAAUAGAGCUAAUAGUGUUUGUUUCCCAUUUACAUAGCAGGGGCUGUAUUCAAACACCAGAUUUUUUUUUUCAGGGAACACCCAAAAUGGACAGCUUGUGGAUCAUGAGAAGAAAUCUGCUGAAUUCUAGAAAAACAUGUGCUUAGUCAAAAUUGCUCUAUGUUUAAAUGUGAUGGGUCACUCAAAGUCAGCUCCACACGCACACACAAACACACACACACCUCACUUAUCUACGUUGUUAGAUCAGGACGAGAAGACGAGGGGAAAAUGAAUAAAUUACACCUCAGCCAACCAUUUUUGAAAUGUAAAUGCAACCAAAUGUAAAAAGCUGACUGAGUUCCAAACACACACCUCUGACCCAUGAUAAUUCUCUGCUAGCAGUCUACAUUUGACACAAGGAGAAGACUUGGUAAAUGCAUUUGCAUCCACAGUGUUUGGAGGCUGAAGGAACACUGAAACUAACUUCAUUACAUGUAGAAGUUCUCACAUGAUACAGCUGAGGGGUUGGUAAAUGAUUAAGAUCAUAUGAGAAAAUACAGCAAAGUUCUGCUGAACAAAUGUCAUUUUGUCACUCCGUUUUGUAAAAUAUUGGCUAAUUUUACCAUUUUGAGUUUCAGACCAUUCUAUAAUUAAUCAGUAAGAGAUUUCAAAAUAGAAAAGUGAAACUGAUAACAACUCAUAGACACCUGAAAUAAAAUGACAAAGCCCUGACUUCAAUUUUUUUUCUAGCCCAAAAAACUGGAAGCCUCUGAUUUAAGCUUAUUUUACAAGCUUUUCACACCAUGUGUGCAAAAUAUUAUUCUGAAACCCAACCAGUAACGCAGUUUCUCACGUAAAUGUUGUUGGAAAAGAGUUCACUACACAAAUAUGCAAUGACACGACAUGUUGAGUUAGUUUUGGUGCAGACUUCACGGACAGGAUGAAGUACUAACUUAAACCCCUACAAACACAUCCCUGUGCAUUAAAGUUACAUAUUUAAAUGUUUUUAAAAAUUAGAAUAAUCUCUUUCUACCUUAAAAUGUCACUGUUUUCUCAAGAAUGUGUGAAUCUACGAAGUUCCUGCCUCGAUUCACAAUGUCCUCUCCAAAUUCAUUGCGACUUGAGCACACCAGCUCACCCCCAAUUCAGCUCAAACACUGAAAAAAUACUCUACCUGUACACUACAGGUACACACUACUGGCACCAGAGGAUUGUGUAAACCCUGGAAGUCUAAAUCAUCAUUCUGAAAGCAGAAAUUCUCCACCAUAAUGUUAAUUGCUUGUUUUACUCUUGAUGUAACUUCUAGCAUAUUAAAAAAAUGUUAAUGAGGUAAAAAAGAAUAUAAUUUUCACAGGAGGGGGUCUUUAAAAGUUAAAAGUAGCUUAUCUUUUUGAUGAAGUACAGUACUUACCUAAGUGCCAUUAGAUAUUUUCUUCUACUGGUAUCUCUCCUGCAUUUUCACAAUUGCACUCUGGGUUUUGACCCCAUCUAUUUAUAGGGCCUCCCAGGGGCAUCAAUUUUAGUUGACCUUCAUAGCAAUGACUCUGCUUGACAAAACAGAAUCCACAGCAGGCGGUUGCUAAAUAAGCCUGCAUACAGAUUAAGAGGGAGCAUGAAACAGCUGGUUACAUGAAGACAGCUUGACUGCCUGCAUGUGCUGCACUCAGCCAGAGGCUACACACUCUACUUUGUCAGGCUAACUGCUGUUACAACAUUUUAUUUUGUCUGAUUCCCCCAUUCCUUGCAUUUUCGCCUGAAGAAGAAAAAAAAAUACAGACAGUAAGUCAGUGAGUUAUUAGAAGUAACACGGAGGAUCACUUUUAAGACCGGAGAGUGGAUAACAGCAUGAGCUGAGCUCUCUGGCUUUCUAUUUCAUUGCUCCACUGAUCUGUUAAUGUCACACACCAAAAAGCUGAAAAGACUAUUGAUUGGACACGAUGCCUAAAGGGCUUCACUGUCCUUUUCCAGACAUCUUCGAGGUCUUAGAUGUAACAGGACAGCCGAGAUUUGACUCCAUGCCAGAAUGAGAGGAGGGGGUGAGACUAGAAUAAAUUUAUGUCAUGAUACUCACAUUGGGGUUUAACCCUUUAUUGCACCAGUUCAUCUGGGUUUAAUGGUGUGGCUUUGCUCCUGAAAAUAUCCAAAAGGAGAUUUAUAAAGGUUAUAUCUGAGUUCAAAGUCCCUCUGGCUGAGGCUUUGGAUACAAAACAUUCACAUGAACAUGAACCCAGAGAGGGAAAACAUUCUGAAAUCACAUAAAUCUAAAUGCUAAUGCAGAGGAGAGGUGGAGGCAGUAUCAAGCAGUGCUGCAGCUGGAAGGAUCAGUGCUGAAUAUUGAAGUAUGCAGAAGAAAUCAGCCAAACCUGUUGGAAAUAUGGAAAAAUAGCAGGUUGUGCAGCAUGUAUGAGUGGACAGUAUAUGACCUCUGAUGGUAAAACAACUGAGGGUGCAACAAGAUUAGUUCAUUUCAGUUUUUAUAGUAUAUAUUUUUAAUAUUAUUUCAACACAGAUAAAUUAAGAAAGAUCUACAUUAACUGAAGCUUGUAAUGUGUUUUUAAAGAUGUGAAAAGUGAGCAAUAACCAUUUCAAUCAUUCAAGUAAAAGAAUGUGUACAUGUUUUUUUUAAUCCUUGCAAACCAAAAAUGUAAGCUAUUCUGACUUCUGAACAAAACUAUUUUAUGGUUUAGCAUACUUAGUUUUUUCUUCUACAAAUCCUCUUAACAACAUGAGCUUAGAUCUGCUGCUUUUUUCUGACUGACUAUGAAUAGGCCUGCAAUAUUUCACUGAAAGUUUAUGGUAGUCCAAAUAUACCUUUACAUCACUGUUGUAAUUUUUUGAAGAAUGAUGCUCCUUUAACCCUUUGAUGCACAACAUGGGUCAAAAGUGACCCAAAUCCAAUGGAAAAUGGCUAUGUCCUGACCCAUGCUGUGAAUCAAAGGGUUGUUAUUUUACAGAAGAACAAGAUCACAUCUCCUUAUUCAGGUAUAUGCAUCAAACAGCCUAAUAUUAUGUAGGUCCCCACUGUGCUGCAAAAAAAAAAACAAAAAAAAAAACAGCUGUAACCACUGUUCCCUCUAAACUGCGCGUGUGCGCAACUGCGCACUGCUGACACGGUCUCCGCGCACUGAAAAUCUGCGCUGCGCACACAAAAAAAAUCCAACCUAAAUUGUAAAUAAAAUAAACACGUAGCAAUUCAUUCUGUGCUAUUUUUCAAUGUGAGUCAGUGAGUGACCGGUGACUGGCUGCUGCAGCCAAUGAUGCGAUUCACAUACGUAUUUACCAUAGACUGUAUAUAAUGGUAUUUACGCAGCUAAUCAACGUCAGGUGUCCUUAUGUGUAGCCACCGUUGUUGUCAUAGAUAUGAAUGAGUAGAUAGGACACGCCCCUUUGAGCUGCGUGCUACAGCGAGGCUAAGCUAGUGGGGGAAAAGUUUCAGUGCAUUCCGUUGAUGUAGACGGCGUGAAAACGGAAACAAGAAGUAUGCCGUCUCACUGUGCUACAUACAAUUACACACUACGUCGUACGAUUGAGAAAAGGAAACUUGGAAUGACUUUUCAUAGGUAAGAAUAGUUUUUGGCUCUUUUUCCUGUAUUAAAUCUUGUUGAGAGCUUCCAGUCUAUGAGAGCUAACUAGUUAGCCACUAGAAAAACACUAAGGCGAGCUAGCAGCUUGACAACCAAAUACCAGACGAUUAAUAGUAGCUGUAGUAUAGUUGUACAAGCAGUAGUAGUAAUACUAAAAGUACAAGCAGCAGUAGUAGUAUAAAAUAGCUAUCAGAGUCGUAGAAGUAGUAUCAGCAUUUGUAAUAGUAUUACAAGUUGUAGUAGCAGUGCCAGUAUCAGCAGCAGUUAAUGUACUACCAGUAUUACUAGUAGUUGUCACAUUGCUAUUACUACCACCAAUACUACCAAUAGUAGUUAUAAAGCCUAACUCAUGUAUAUCCAGAUUACCAUCUAUGUUCUUCCUCCAAACCCAUUUUAUGAUUGGGAUUACAGGCAGUUCUUUAGGACUGCUCUCAAAUAAUUGAAAUGUUACUAAACAAGGUUAUACUUAUCAAAUUAAAUAGCUCUGGUCUCCAGUAUAUUGGCGAAUUCGGUUCUUUGUACUUAAUUUAUUAGCAUGAUUUCUUUUUAAUAUGUUGUGUACAGACUUAAUUACUUCUCUGUCUACUUUUCUUACUCCAUGUAGGUUUCCCAGAGACUAUGGGUUGAGGAGGAAUUGGAAGUUUGUCGGCUUAGACCUGGUGUCAUUCCAUCAGUGUUAAACUUCCCGGCUCAUCUUGGAAGAGUACGUGCCAGAAAGACCACGACCAAGCAGCCUUGAGAUCUUAGGCAGCAUCUCCCUCAGGUCCCUCUCUAUCUCCCCACACAUCCACCAACCACUGGAACACAUCUCCAAAGUUCUGCCGGGCCAGCUCAGCUUCCCCUCAGAAGAAGUGCUGCCACCUGCCAGAUGAAGGAGCCUUUUGAGAGGCAGCUGGCAUCGUGAUUGGACUGUACUUUGGUCUGUUCCAGUCCAGCUUCAGCUCCAGAGACGGCAGGUGGGACGAGUCAACGGAGGCCUGGUGGACGAAGGCAUGAAGCUGAGUACAAUCCAGAAAACAACAGAGGAGGAGUGCAGGGGUCCGUUUCACGAAGCAGGUUUAGUGAAAACUCUGAGUUGUUAACCCUGAAAUGAGGGAAACUCAGAGUUUUCCAUUUCACAAAGGGAGGUAACUAAAACCCGAGACAGCGGGAUAACUCUAGCCUGUUUCACAAAGAGGGGUAACUUAAACUCUCGGUCAGUUACCGUAGUAACAGACUCUCUGACUCUAACCAGGUCGGGACCAGGUUUUUCUCAGUAAACCUCGAGUUUCUCUCAGUCUCCACCCUCUUUCCGCCACAAACACCAUUUCAUUUCUUCAUUCAUUCAGUCAGCUGGCGAGUUUUGGCGAAGUCUAGUUCUGCCGUUUGUCAAAAUGACGUCCUUUUAUGAACAAUCCAGUGGAUGAAGGAGCAGCAUUACUGCACAGAGAAUUAAAUAUUCGUCGGGAGAUUGUUAUCAGACCACGCAUAGAUGUUCUCGCAUUUCUCGACAAGUAUCUUUUAGAGCGGUACCGUUUCACGUCACAGUCCAUAAUCUACAUACAACCUAAUCCGUCCUUACAUUUACAACUUUACCAACCACAGUCAUGCUCUCACAUCCCAGCAGAUAUUGUGUGUUGUGCUGCGGUUCUUUGCAAAUGGAAGUUUUUUAUAUAAUGUCGGAGAUGCAGAGCACCUCAGUAAGGCAACUGUAUGCAGGACGGUCAGAAAAGUGUGUUUGGCCCUGAAACGACUUUUACCAUCUUUGUGGUUUUCCCUGGACAUAAACCUGUCAGAACCAUCAAGGCUCUGUGUGUGUGUGUGUGUGUGUGUGUGUGUGUGUGUGUGUGUGCGUGCGUGCGUGCGUGCGUGCGUGCGUGCGUGCGUGCGUGCGUGCGUGCGUGCGUGCGUGUGUGUAUAUAUAUAUAUAUAUAGAGAGAGAGAGAGAGAGAGAGAGAGAGAGAGAGUAGAAGUCUUUGUUAGUUUAAAUAGGCUUAAUUAUUUAACAGAACAUGAUAUGAAUGCAGACAUCUAGGCUAUGUGUGGGAUAAAACCACUGCACAGUCAAACAGCCACUUAAUAUUUAGGCUACUUUACAAUGUAAAACAUGAUCAAAAUGAGGUAGCUCCAUGAGAUUAUGCCGACUUCUUACCUGUUUUAAAAAUGUUUUUAUAUUUCAUCUUAAGCUCCUGCCACAUGCGCUUCUCCCCCGUGGGAUUGCACCUAAAUGAAUGAACUUAAUAUGCUACCAUUCAAACAGUUUUCCCCUGUAAUAUUAUUGUGAUUUAAACUUACGCAUUGAGCCGGGCAGCAAUGUUCUCCCACACCGUCUCCCUCUCUUUUGCAGCUGCAGGUGUUGCACUUCUUUCUAAAAACGUGCUCAAACUCGCUAUAUAAGCGCAUUAAGAUUUCCAAUUCAAACGGUGUAGUCCUCCGCUUCCCCGUUGCCAUGGUGACUCGUCGAAUCGGCGCUCCAUUGAUACUGGCUUUUCAGAGUUGUGGUGCACGCGCUUAACUCCGGGUGAAACUACUCCGAGUUGACUAAACCAACUCAAAUCAGCCGUUGUGAAACCGAAAACUCAGAGUAGAUCAACUCAGAGUUCAGGGUUAAACUCAGAGUUUGUUGAACCUGCUUCGUGAAACGGACCCCAGGGGCAGAACAGAGUAGCAUCGUAUGUCUCUUAGAAAACAUCAUAGUAUAGCCUUUGGUAUGAAAAAACGCCAUCAUAUACAUCAUAUAUUGUACAAAUAACAAGUCAAAGGAAAGAGACAUACAUUGUAGAAUCGUAGUAACUGUGAGCUGACUGAUUUACUGAUGAUCAGUAUUUUAUUUUUUACUGAUUUACGGUAAUAAAUACAUUUAAAAAUGGC